rnacentral:rRNA from 1 species
ACGAACGCUGGCGGCGUGCCUAAUACAUGCAAGUCGAACGCUUCUUUUUCCACCGGAGCUUGCUCCACCGGAAAAAGAGGAGUGGCGAACGGGUGAGUAACACGUGGGUAACCUGCCCAUCAGAAGGGGAUAACACUUGGAAACAGGUGCUAAUACCGUAUAACAAUCGAAACCGCAUGGUUUUGAUUUGAAAGGCGCUUUCGGGUGUCGCUGAUGGAUGGACCCGCGGUGCAUUAGCUAGUUGGUGAGGUAACGGCACACCAAGGCGACGAUGCAUAGCCGACCUGAGAGGGUGAUCGGCCACAUUGGGACUGAGACACGGCCCAAACUCCUACGGGAGGCAGCAGUAGGGAAUCUUCGGCAAUGGACGAAAGUCUGACCGAGCAACGCCGCGUGAGUGAAGAAGGUUUUCGGAUCGUAAAACUCUGUUGUUAGAGAAGAACAAGGAUGAGAGUAACUGUUCAUCCCUUGACGGUAUCUAACCAGAAAGCCACGGCUAACUACGUGCCAGCAGCCGCGGUAAUACGUAGGUGGCAAGCGUUGUCCGGAUUUAUUGGGCGUAAAGCGAGCGCAGGCGGUUUCUUAAGUCUGAUGUGAAAGCCCCCGGCUCAACCGGGGAGGGUCAUUGGAAACUGGGAGACUUGAGUGCAGAAGAGGAGAGUGGAAUUCCAUGUGUAGCGGUGAAAUGCGUAGAUAUAUGGAGGAACACCAGUGGCGAAGGCGGCUCUCUGGUCUGUAACUGACGCUGAGGCUCGAAAGCGUGGGGAGCAAACAGGAUUAGAUACCCUGGUAGUCCACGCCGUAAACGAUGAGUGCUAAGUGUUGGAGGGUUUCCGCCCUUCAGUGCUGCAGCUAACGCAUUAAGCACUCCGCCUGGGGAGUACGACCGCAAGGUUGAAACUCAAAGGAAUUGACGGGGGCCCGCACAAGCGGUGGAGCAUGUGGUUUAAUUCGAAGCAACGCGAAGAACCUUACCAGGUCUUGACAUCCUUUGACCACUCUAGAGAUAGAGCUUCCCCUUCGGGGGCAAAGUGACAGGUGGUGCAUGGUUGUCGUCAGCUCGUGUCGUGAGAUGUUGGGUUAAGUCCCGCAACGAGCGCAACCCUUAUUGUUAGUUGCCAUCAUUUAGUUGGGCACUCUAGCAAGACUGCCGGUGACAAACCGGAGGAAGGUGGGGAUGACGUCAAAUCAUCAUGCCCCUUAUGACCUGGGCUACACACGUGCUACAAUGGGAAGUACAACGAGUCGCAAAGUCGCGAGGCUAAGCUAAUCUCUUAAAGCUUCUCUCAGUUCGGAUUGUAGGCUGCAACUCGCCUACAUGAAGCCGGAAUCGCUAGUAAUCGCGGAUCAGCACGCCGCGGUGAAUACGUUCCCGGGCCUUGUACACACCGCCCGUCACACCACGAGAGUUUGUAACACCCGAAGUCGGUGAGGUAACCUUUUGGAGCCAGCCGCCUAAGGUGGGAUAGAUGAUUGGGGUG